UACGUAGGGUCCGAGCGUUGUCCGGGAUUACUGGGCGUAAAGAGCUCGUAGGUGGUUUGUCACGUUGUUCGUGAAAACCCACAGCUCAACUGUGGGCGUGCGAGCGAUACGGGCAGACUAGAGUACUGCAGGGGAGACUGGAAUUCCUGGUGUAGCGGUGGAAUGCGCAGAUAUCAGGAGGAACACCAGUGGCGAAGGCGACUACCUGGCCCACUCUUGACGCUGAGGCGCGAAAGCUAGGGGAGCAAACGGG
rnacentral:rRNA from 1 species